rnacentral:rRNA from 1 species
UCCUACGGGAGGCAGCAGUAAGGAAUAUUCCACAAUGAGCGAAAGCUUGAUGGAGCGACACAGAGUGCAGGAUGAAGUCUUUAGGGAUGUAAACUGCUGUUGUAAGGGAAGAAAAAACUAGAUAGGAAAUGAUUCAGUCUUGACGGUACCUUAUUAGAAAGUGACGGCAAACUAUGUGCCAGCAGCCGCGGUAAUACAUAGGUCGCAAGCGUUAUCCGGAAUUAUUGGGCGUAAAGCGUCCGCAGGUUUUUUGUUAAGUUUAAGGUUAAAUGCUAAAGCUCAACUUUAGUUCGCUUUAGAUACUGACAAAAUAGAAUUAUGAAGAGGUUAGCGGAAUUCCUAGUGGAGCGGUGGAAUGCGUAGAUAUUAGGAAGAACACCAAUAGGCGAAGGCAGCUAACUGGUCAUAUAUUGACACUAAUGGACGAAAGCGUGGGGAGCAAACAGGAUUAGAUACCCUGGUAGUC